rnacentral:lncRNA from 1 species
UCGUGCACGUGUCAUUAUAAUUUUCCCUCAGAAAUCGGAGGAAUACCCUUUUAUCUGGUUUUUUGACUCUCGUGUAUUCAUAAAUCAAAUUAACAUGUUACAUCAUUGAUAUCCCAACUGAUAGCCCAGUGCAAGGUUGCCAUGUUAGUCAUGGUGUUAUCGUUCCCUGUCAUCCAAUCAAAAAAUUCCUUCACUUCUCGCUUUUCGUACGUCACGACCUCUAUAAGUAGCAGCUUCAUAGUAGCAGCACGCCUCUUUUCCAUCUUCCAAGUCCGUGGGGGUAGAUGCCCACGUCGCGGGUAGUUCCAUUGUGCGAUAGGUAAUUCGAUUGUGCGAUAGGUAAUUCGAUUGUGCGAUAGUUAAUUCCAUUGUGCGAUAGUUAAUUCCAUUGUGCGAUAGUUAAUUCCAUUGUGCGAUAGUUAAUUCCAUUGUGCGCUAGGUACUUCAGUGUGCACAGUGUGUGUUCGCCGUCAAGGACAGGAUCGAACUUCAAAUCUCUUAGCAUAAUUCACCAUAAUUACCACCACCACCAAUAAUUCACCAUAAUUCAGAUGAGCCAUCCCUCUCCAGUUUUAAUUCAUCAUUAAAGCGUAUCAGGGUGGUUUCACGAUAACUGGAAUGGUUCUGUCGCCGUAACAGACAACACAAUUUUCGAUCGGUUCGUGCGACUUAGAAUCCGAUGCGGCGCGGAGCCUCUUCGUGGAUCGCACCCGGUGGGUCAAGAUCUUCUACGACUUCCACAACCACCCUGCUCAGCCCCUCUUCGUCUCGGCUCCGAGCGGUGCCGGAACAACACCCGGAGACUCCAAUCUCGCUGGCCGGAACCUGACACGCGACCUACACGACUACUUCAAGAAAAAUGCGUGGUUCUGAUCGAUUCCUUCGACCACCCGGCCACCACCCUGUUAUACAAUUCUACCCCUGACGCUCGCAAGAUCCGGUCCUGGCUCGCGGGGUUCUUGGACCAUUUGCUCCGCAAGAACAAGCACCUGGAGGCAGGCUUCCUCACGGGACGAUCCCGUCUCGGUGAGGUCUACGCCUCUAAUAACACCGUCUACAAAAGCUUCGUCAAUAGCGACUUGAUCGGUUUCUCAUUCGGCCUAUCACCCGACCACGUAAAAGAUCUUUUAGAGGGCUACAACAGCAGUCUGACCAUCGACCAGCUCGCUCGUGAAUUCUGCGGGUAUAGUAUCAACGCCACCGACCUUCGAGCCUAUCCAACGGGAUCCGUGAUCAGGAGUAUAGAGUCCGGGAAAGUCCUGGAGACCUGGAAGCCUGGUGUCUCCACCGAUCGGUUCGUCCAGGCGUUCAGGUUGGACGCAGCUGGUGGUCACAUACUAACCGCCCUUCGGGGAGGAGCUGUCGUGCUUAAAUUGGCCAAACGCGUGCAGUUCGAAGACUUGGAGGAGCUGCAAGAGUACUUGGACGGUGUUAACGACAAGAGAUUCAAAUACCGACAGAGGUCGACCCCUCUAUUCUUACAGUACCUCUACGAGCUCGGGUACUUUACCAACAUCUUCGAGGAGCUGGGAGGGUACGGGAAUCUGCGUGUGCCUAAUUUGGAAAUCGCGCAUAACUUGAAGUCUAUCCUCACGAAGGCCUUGGCAGGGGAGUUUAUUUUCAAUAAGGCACGCCUUGCGAAACUGAAAGACUCUGUCGGGAACCUUGAUGGGUCUAGAGAGUCGUGCGAGGGGUUUCUGGAUGCUGCAAUGGCGGUGGUCAAGCCAUAUUUGAGCGACUGCAGAUUGCGGGAGAACAUCUUGGUGAUCCUCUUCCACGCAGUUCAGUCUGUUGUUCCAGAUGUGCUGGGAGAGGUUCUGGUCCCCGGUGGAGUCGGUUUUGAUGAAAUGGGGCAGGAAGUGGGGUAUUUUUUGGGGUUCGCGGACACACUUGUGAUUCCGGUCGGACGGGUUGGGGUCAUUAUUAAUCAUAAGGUUUGCGGAACAGCUUCGAAGCUCUGA